rnacentral:rRNA from 1 species
GAUGAACGCUAGCGACAGGCUUAAGGCAUGCAAGUCGAACGAAUGUAGAAAUACAUUAGUGGCGGACUGGUGAGUAACGUGUGAGCAAUCUGCCUCUAACUGGGGGAUAACACUUAGAAAUAGGUGCUAAUACCGCAUAAGACCACAUGAAGGCAUCUUCAAGGGGUCAAAGAUUUAUCGGUUAGAGAUGAGCUCGCAUCCCAUUAGCUUGUUGGUGAGGUAACGGCCCACCAAGGCUACGAUGGGUAGCCGACCUGAGAGGGUGAUCGGCCACACUGGGACUGAGAUACGGCCCAGACUCCUACGGGAGGCAGCAGUCGGGAAUAUUGGGCAAUGGAGGAAACUCUGACCCAGCAACGCCGCGUGAAGGAAUAGAAGGUCUUCGGGAUUGUAAACUUCCGUCGUGAGGGACGAAGAAUGACGGUACCUCAAUAAGAAAGCCCCCGG